GACGAACGCUGGCGGCGUGCUUAACACAUGCAAGUCGAGCGGAGCGGCGAACGGGUGAGUAAGGCGUGAGUAACUGCCCCCCUCUCUGGGGUAACAGUUGGAAACGGCUGCUAAUACCGGAUAGUGGGGGAUGACUCGGGUCCGAUCAGCUUGUUGGGGGGGUAGUGGCCUACCAAGGCGACGACUGGUAGCCGGCCUGAGAGGGCGACCGGCCACAUUGGGCUGAGAUACGGCGCAGCCUCCUACGGGGGGCAGCAGUGGGAAGUAUUGCACAAUGGGGGAAACCCUGAUGCAGCGGCGCCGCGUGCGGGAAGCCGGCCCUCGGGUUGUAAACCUCGUUCAGCCAUGACGCGUUAGUGGCAGAAGAAGCACCGGCUAACUACGUGCCAGCAGCCGCGGUAAUAC
rnacentral:rRNA from 1 species